rnacentral:SRP_RNA from 1 species
ACGGGCAGUCCUGCACGGCCAGCUCCCUCGGAAUCCCCCAGGAUGGGAACAUAGCAAGGGUACUUGGUUGUAGCGGCGCGAUACAGUAAGCUGCCCAC